rnacentral:sRNA from 1 species
UAGAAAAAAAUUAAUGCUAAUGGCAUUGGGUUGUAAAUAAGUCAAACUCUAGGAUUUAUUUGUUAAAAUGACUGCAAAAAUGUAUAUAUAGAUUAAAUGAGACAAAAAGGCCCAAAAUGUUAAACCACAAGUGAUAACACCACAAAUCCAAGUAUACAAAAGCCCAAAGUGAGUGAUGGAGUUGUACGAUCACAUAAUUUAGUUAUUUAUAUUUUAGAGUAUAGAUAGAAGAAGCUCUUUGGUGUUUCUCACUAGUGGUCCAAU